rnacentral:pre_miRNA from 1 species
AGUGGAAUGACUAGGUCAUAUGGUACAUGUAUGUUUAACUUUUUAAGAAACAGCCAAGAUUUUUUUUUUUUUUCCAGAAUGGCUGCACCCUUUUGCAUCCCUUCCAGCAAU